UAGGGAAUCUUCCACAAUGGGCGCAAGCCUGAUGGAGCAACACCGCGUGAGCGAAGAAGGGUUUCGGCUCGUAAAGCUCUGUUGUUGGAGAAGAACGUGCGUGAGAGUAACUGUUCACGCAGUGACGGUAUCCAACCAGAAAGUCACGGCUAACUACGUGCCAGCAGCCGCGGUAAUACGUAGGUGGCAAGCGUUAUCCGGAUUUAUUGGGCGUAAAGCGAGCGCAGGCGGUUGCUUAGGUCUGAUGUGAAAGCCUUCGGCUUAACCGAAGAAGUGCAUCGGAAACCGGGCGACUUGAGUGCAGAAGAGGACAGUGGAACUCCAUGUGUAGCGGUGGAAUGCGUAGAUAUAUGGAAGAACACCAGUGGCGAAGGCGGCUGUCUGGUCUGCAACUGACGCUGAGGCUCGAAAGCAUGGGUAGCGAACA
rnacentral:rRNA from 1 species